AGGAUCCAGUUCCCUAAGUGGAUGCCUUCCUUACUAGCCUUGUCACUUGUAUCACUUUGAACAUGAAAGAAGAAACAGAUGUAAGCAAAUUCUGGUCCUGCCCUUAGUCAGCAGACUGCAAGUUAGUGCCAGGUUUUCAGGAGCCAAAUCAGAUCCGAAUACAGGGCAGUCAGAUGACAUCAUUUUCACCAGCUAUUGUUUAAUGGUAUGAUUUGCAGGUAGGGAAAUGGAGACAGAGUAAUAAUGCAGGAGCAAGUUACUUCCAUAAACUUGUCUACACGAGGAAGCUUUCUAAAAUACCUGAUGUAGAAUAGCAGUGUCCCCUUGAGGAUUUACAGCAAAAUGAUCAUCCUAGAAUAAAUUAGGGAUAACUAUCUCA
rnacentral:lncRNA from 1 species